rnacentral:rRNA from 1 species
AACGAACGCUGGCGGCAUGCCUAACACAUGCAAGUCGAACGAAGUCUUCGGACUUAGUGGCGCACGGGUGCGUAACGCGUGGGAAUCUGCCCUUGGGUGCGGAAUAACUUCUCGAAAGGGAUGCUAAUACCGCAUAAUGUCGUAAGACCAAAGAUUUAUCGCCCAAGGAUGAGCCCGCGUAAGAUUAGCUAGUUGGUGGGGUAAAAGCCUACCAAGGCGACGAUCUUUAGCUGGUCUGAGAGGAUGAUCAGCCACACUGGGACUGAGACACGGCCCAGACUCCUACGGGAGGCAACAGUGGGGAAUAUUGGACAAUGGGCGAAAGCCUGAUCCAGCAAUGCCGCGUGA